AUUGAACGCUGGCGGCAGGCCUAACACAUGCAAGUCGAACGGUAACAGAAAGCAGCUUGCUGCUUUGCUGACGAGUGGCGGACGGGUGAGUCAUGUCUGGGAAACUGCCUGAUGGAGGGGGAUAACUACUGGAAACGGUAGCUAAUACCGCAUAACGUCGCAAGCCCAAAGAGGGGGACCUUCGGGCCUCUUGCCAUCGGAUGUGCCCAGAUGGGAUUAGCUAGUAGGUGGGGUAAAGGCUCACCUAGGCGACGAUCCCUAGCUGGUCUGAGAGGAUGACAAGCAACACUGGAACGGAGACACGGUCCAGAAGCCUACGGGAGGCAGCAGUGGGGAAUAUUGCACAAUGGGCGCAAGCCUGAUGCAGCCAUGCCGCGUGUAUGAAGAAGGCCUUCGGGUUGUAAAGUACUUUCAGCGGGGAGGAAGGGAGUAAAGUUAAUACCUUUGCUCAUUGACGUUACCCGCAGAAGAAGCACCGGCUAACUCCGUG
rnacentral:rRNA from 1 species